rnacentral:rRNA from 1 species
CAAUAGCGUAUAUUAAAGUUGUUGCAGUUAAAAAGCUCGUAGUUGGACCUUGGACCUGGACAGGCGGUCCGCCUCACGGCGUGUACUGUCUUGCUGGGUCUUUCCUCUUGGUGAUCUGUUGUUUCGGCAGCAGGGAACCAGGACUUUUACUUUGAAAGAAUUAGAGUGUUCAAAGCAGGCUCGACGCCGGAAUAUAUUAGCAUGGAAUAAUAAAAUAGGACGUGCGGUUCUAUUUUGUUGGUUUUUGGAAUCGCCGUAAUGAUUAAUAGGGACAGUCGGGGGCAUUAGUACUCACAUGCUAGAGGUGAAAUUCUUGGAUUUUGUGAAGACUAACUUCUGCGAAAGCAUUUGCCAAGGAUGUUUUCAUUAA